GGCUCCUUGUAGUUUUUAAAUAAGGAGUCGUACCUGCCCAGUGAACUGUUUCAACGGCCGCGGUACUCUGACCGUGCAAAGGUAGCAUAAUCAUUUGCCUUAUAAUUGAAGGCUGGUAUGAAUGGUUUGACAAGAAUACGACUGUCUCUCUACGAUUUAAUAGAACUUUAUCAGUGAGUGAAAAAGCUCACAUAUAACUGAUAGACAAGAAGACCCUGUCGAGCUUUAAAGAAGUUAAAAGGAUAUUGAUAAUAAGACUAAAAAACAAACUAUUAAAUAUUUUAGUUGGGGCGACUAGGGAACAAACAAAGCUUCCUCUACUAAAAAGGCACUACAAGCAUUGAUCCAGGACAAUCCUGAUUGAAGAAAUUAGUUACCGCAGGGAUAACAGCAUAAUUUUCCUUGAGAGCUCAUAUCGAAAGGGAAGCUUGUGACCUCGAUGUUGGACCAGAAUGUCCUAAAGGUGCAGCCGCCUUUAAGGGUUGGUCUGUUCGACCAUUAAAAUUCUACG
rnacentral:rRNA from 1 species